rnacentral:rRNA from 1 species
UACGUAGGGUGCGAGCGUUGUCCGGAAUUAUUGGGCGUAAAGAGCUUGUAGGUGGUUUGUCGCGUCUGCUGUGAAAAUCCGGGGCUCAACCCCGGACUUGCAGUGGGUACGGGCAGACUAGAGUGUGGUAGGGGAGACUGGAAUUCCUGGUGUAGCGGUGGAAUGCGCAGAUAGUCAGGAGGAACACCGAUGGCGAAGGCAGGUCUCUGGGCCAUUACUGACACUGGAGAAGCGAAAGCCAUGGGGAGCGAACAGG